CAAAAAAAACAGAAAAUAGAAGAAAACAAGAGAGAGAGUCGGUGCAAAGAGGAGAAGAAAAGAAAAGAAAGAGAAAGAAGAGAAGGGAAGAGAAGGGAGGAGAGGAGGAGAGAUUUUGGUGUUAUCUUCCAUUAUGAUUAAGAUCAACAAAAUUUCUACAACAGAUUAGGUAGAUUAUUGCUUAACUUUUGGAAUGGAAACUGUUGAUCUAUUGAGUUUGUUGACCAGAUCCAUGACUAUCGGUGAUCCGCCUCCUCUGGAACAAGGUUGUGGACAGGGCCGUGGUCGUGAACGUGUAGCGCCCCUACCAAUUCUCCUCCUGUUGGUGGUGUGGACCGAAGCCUGUAGCCGUGUCGUUGCCAAUUCCUACAGAUACCACCACAGCAGGAUCACCUGCGGUGUGGCCAAGCAAUUCACAGGCCCCGGUCAGGUUAUGGGAUGCGCCGCCACUGCUACCAGCCACCCAGAGGCAGUAUAUCAGCCUCUGGGAUGCGACAUAUGUCCGUAAUAUUUAUUUAUUAAAUUAUUUUAUAAUAUUUUAAUAUUUAUUAUUUUUAAUAUUUAUUUAUUUUUUCAAUCCGAUCGAAAUUUUCACACUGCGAUCCAUGCUACAGUCAAAAUUCGCUUCCUUGGGGGAAUAUAUCCGAAUCCCACAGGAGCACCAAUUAUUCUGAUUUAAUAAUGUAAGGAUAAGAAUAAUAUUUAAUUUUAAGUAACACUUAUAUUUUUUU